rnacentral:rRNA from 1 species
UACAGAGGGUGCAAGCGUUAAUCGGAAUUACUGGGCGUAAAGCGUGCGUAGGCGGCUAAGUCAGUCGGAUGUGAAAGCCCUAGGCUUAACCUAGGAAUUGCAUUCGAUACUACUUGGCUAGAGUAUGGGAGAGGGCAACGGAAUUCCAUGUGUAGCGGUGAAAUGCGUAGAUAUAUGGAGGAACAUCAGUGGCGAAGGCGGUUGCCUGGCCUAAUACUGACGCUGAGGUACGAAAGCGUGGGGAGCAAACAGG